GAUGAAGAACGUAGCGAAGUGCGAUAAGUAAUGUGAAUUGCAGAAUUCAGUGAAUCAUCGAAUCUUUGAACGCACAUUGCGCCCGUCAGUAUUCUGGCGGGCAUGCCUGUUCGAGCGUCAUUACGCCCCUCAAGUCCCCUGUGGACUUGGUGUUGGGGAUCGGCGAGGCUGGUUUUCCAGCACAGCCGUCCCUUAAAUUAAUUGGCGGUCUCGCCGUGGCCCUCCUCUGCGCAGUAGUAAAACACUCGCAACAGGAGCCCGGCGCGGUCCACUGCCGUAAAACCCCCCAACUUUUUAUAGUUGACCUCGAAUCAGGUAGGACUACCCGCUGAACUUAAGCAUAUCAAUAAGCGGAGGA
rnacentral:misc_RNA from 1 species